GCGAGCGUGGCGAAAUUGGCAGACGCGCUGGAUUUAGGUUCCAGUGUCUUCGGACGUGGGGGUUCAAGUCCCCCCGCUCGCACCA
rnacentral:tRNA from 4 species